UGGGGAAUCUUCCGCAAUGGACGAAAGUCUGACGGAGCGACGCCGCGUGAGUGACGAAGGCCCUCGGGUCGUAAAGCUCUGUCGUCGGGGACGAACGGCUAUGUCAGGAAAUGGGCAUAGAGUGACGGUACCCGAGAAGGAAGCCACGGCUAACUACGUGCCAGCAGCCGCGGUAAUACGUAGGUGGCGAGCGUUGUCCGGAAUUAUUGGGCGUAAAGCGCGCGCAGGGGGGAUCUUAAGUCUGUUUUCAAAGUGCGGAGCUUAACUCCGUGAUGGGAUAGAAACUGGGAGUCUUGAGUACCGGAGAGGAAAGCGGAAUUCCCCGUGUAGCGGUGAAAUGCGUAGAUAUGGGGAGGAACACCAGUGGCGAAGGCGGCUUUCUGGACGGUGUCUGACACUGAGGCGCGAAAGCCAGGGGAGCGAACG
rnacentral:rRNA from 1 species